GAUGAACGCUGGCGGCGUGCCUAAUACAUGCAAGUCGAGCGAACAGAUGAGGAGCUUGCUCCUCUGACGUUAGCGGCGCACGGGUGAGUAACACGUGGAUACCCUACCUAUAAGACUGGGAUAACUUCGGGAAACCGGAGCUAAUACCGGAUAAUAUAUUGAACCGCAUGGUUCAAUAGUGAAAGACGGUUUUGCUGUCACUUAUAGAUGGAUCCGCGCCGCAUUAGCUAGUUGGUAAGGUAACGGCUUACCAAGGCAACGAUGCGUAGCCGACCUGAGAGGGUGAUCGGCCGCACUGGAACUGAGACACGGUCCAGACUCCUACGGGAGGCAGCAGUAGGGAAUCUGCCGCGAAGAGCGAAAGCCUGACGGAGCCACGCCGCGUGAGUGAUGAAGGUCUUCGGAUCGUAAAACUCUGUUAUUAGGGAAGAACAAAUGUGUAAGUAACUAUGCACGUCUUGACGGUACCUGAUCAGAAAGCCACGGCUAACUACGUG
rnacentral:rRNA from 1 species